GGUUAAGCGACUAAGCGUACACGGUGGAUGCCCUGGCAGUCAGAGGCGAUGAAGGACGUGCUAAUCUGCGAAAAGCGUCGGUAAGGUGAUAUGAACCGUUAUAACCGGCGAUGUCCGAAUGGGGAAACCCAGUGCAAUUCGUUGCACUAUCGUUAACUGAAUACAUAGGUUAACGAGGCGAACCGGGGGAACUGAAACAUCUAAGUACCCCGAGGAAAAGAAAUCAACCGAGAUUCCCCCAGUAGCGGCGAGCGAACGGGGAGCAGCCCAGAGUCUGAAUCAGCUUGUGUGUUAGUGGAACGGUCUGGAAAGUCCGACGGUACAGGGUGAUAGUCCCGUACACCAAAAUGCACAGGCUGUGAACUCGAAGAGUAGGGCGGGACACGUGGUAUCCUGUCUGAAUAUGGGGGGACCAUCCUCCAAGGCUAAAUACUCCUGACUGACCGAUAGUGAACCAGUACCGUGAGGGAAAGGCGAAAAGAACCCCGGCGAGGGGAGUGAAAAAGAACCUGAAACCGUGUACGUACAAGCAGUGGGAGCACCUUCGGGUGUGACUGCGUACCUUUUGUAUAAUGGGUCAGCGACUUAUAUUCUGUAGCAAGGUUAACCGUAUAGGGGAGCCGCAGGGAAACCGAGUCUUAACUGGGCGUUAAGUUGCAGGGUAUAGACCCGAAACCCGGUGAUCUAGCCAUGGGCAGGUUGAAGGUUGGGUAACACUAACUGGAGGACCGAACCGACUAAUGUUGAAAAAUUAGCGGAUGACUUGUGGCUGGGGGUGAAAGGCCAAUCAAACCGGGAGAUAGCUGGUUCUCCCCGAAAGCUAUUUAGGUAGCGCCUCGUGAACUCAUCUUCGGGGGUAGAGCACUGUUUCGGCUAGGGGGUCAUCCCGACUUACCAACCCGAUGCAAACUACGAAUACCGAAGAAUGUUAUCACGGGAGACACACGGCGGGUGCUAACGUCCGUCGUGAAGAGGGAAACAACCCAGACCGCCAGCUAAGGUCCCAAAGUCAUGGUUAAGUGGGAAACGAUGUGGGAAGGCACAGACAGCCAGGAUGUUGGCUUAGAAGCAGCCAUCAUUUAAAGAAAGCGUAAUAGCUCACUGGUCGAGUCGGCCUGCGCGGAAGAUGUAACGGGGCUAAACCAUGCACCGAAGCUGCGGCAGCGACACUAUGUGUUGUUGGGUAGGGGAGCGUUCUGUAAGCCUGCGAAGGUGUGCUGUGAGGCAUGCUGGAGGUAUCAGAAGUGCGAAUGCUGACAUAAGUAACGAUAAAGCGGGUGAAAAGCCCGCUCGCCGGAAGACCAAGGGUUCCUGUCCAACGUUAAUCGGGGCAGGGUGAGUCGACCCCUAAGGCGAGGCCGAAAGGCGUAGUCGAUGGGAAACAGGUUAAUAUUCCUGUACUUGGUGUUACUGCGAAGGGGGGACGGAGAAGGCUAUGUUAGCCGGGCGACGGUUGUCCCGGUUUAAGCAUGUAGGCUGGUUAUCCAGGCAAAUCCGGAUAAUCAAGGCUGAGGUGUGAUGACGAGGCACUACGGUGCUGAAGUAACAAAUGCCCUGCUUCCAGGAAAAGCCUCUAAGCAUCAGGUAACAUCAAAUCGUACCCCAAACCGACACAGGUGGUCAGGUAGAGAAUACCAAGGCGCUUGAGAGAACUCGGGUGAAGGAACUAGGCAAAAUGGUGCCGUAACUUCGGGAGAAGGCACGCUGGUGUGUAGGUGAAGUCCCUGCGGAUGGAGCUGAGACCAGUCGAAGAUACCAGCUGGCUGCAACUGUUUAUUAAAAACACAGCACUGUGCAAACACGAAAGUGGACGUAUACGGUGUGACGCCUGCCCGGUGCCGGAAGGUUAAUUGAUGGGGUUAUCCGUAAGGAGAAGCUCUUGAUCGAAGCCCCGGUAAACGGCGGCCGUAACUAUAACGGUCCUAAGGUAGCGAAAUUCCUUGUCGGGUAAGUUCCGACCUGCACGAAUGGCGUAAUGAUGGCCAGGCUGUCUCCACCCGAGACUCAGUGAAAUUGAACUCGCUGUGAAGAUGCAGUGUACCCGCGGCAAGACGGAAAGACCCCGUGAACCUUUACUAUAGCUUGACACUGAACAUUGAGCCUUGAUGUGUAGGAUAGGUGGGAGGCUUUGAAGCGUGGACGCCAGUCUGCGUGGAGCCAACCUUGAAAUACCACCCUUUAAUGUUUGAUGUUCUAACGUUGGCCCCUUACCGGGGUUGCGGACAGUGUCUGGUGGGUAGUUUGACUGGGGCGGUCUCCUCCCAAAGCGUAACGGAGGAGCACGAAGGUUAGCUAAUCCUGGUCGGACAUCAGGAGGUUAGUGCAAUGGCAUAAGCUAGCUUGACUGCGAGCGUGACGGCGCGAGCAGGUGCGAAAGCAGGUCAUAGUGAUCCGGUGGUUCUGAAUGGAAGGGCCAUCGCUCAACGGAUAAAAGGUACUCCGGGGAUAACAGGCUGAUACCGCCCAAGAGUUCAUAUCGACGGCGGUGUUUGGCACCUCGAUGUCGGCUCAUCACAUCCUGGGGCUGAAGUAGGUCCCAAGGGUAUGGCUGUUCGCCAUUUAAAGUGGUACGCGAGCUGGGUUUAGAACGUCGUGAGACAGUUCGGUCCCUAUCUGCCGUGGGCGCUGGAGAAUUGAGGGGGGCUGCUCCUAGUACGAGAGGACCGGAGUGGACGCAUCACUGGUGUUCGGGUUGUCAUGCCAAUGGCACUGCCCGGUAGCUAAAUGCGGAAGAGAUAAGUGCUGAAAGCAUCUAAGCACGAAACUUGCCCCGAGAUGAGUUCUCCCUGAGACUUUAAGUCUCCUGAAGGAACGUU
rnacentral:rRNA from 1 species